CCUACGGGUGGCAGCAGUGAGGAAUAUUGGUCAAUGGCCGGAAGGCUGAACCAGCCAAGCCGCGUGAAGGACGAAGGUGCCAAGCAUUGUAAACUGCUUUUAGUUGGGAAUAAAAGGGGGCUCGUGAGCCCCGUAUUGUAUGUACCAUCAGAAAAAGGACCGGCUAAUUCCGUGCCAGCAGCCGCGGUAAUACGGAAGGUCCGGGCGUUAUCCGGAUUUAUUGGGUUUAAAGGGAGCGUAGGCCGGCUUUUAAGUCAGCUGUGAAAGUCCGCGGCUCAACCGUGGAAUUGCAGUUGAAACUGGAGGCCUUGAGUGCACACAGGGAUGCCGGAAUUCAUGGUGUAGCGGUGAAAUGCUUAGAUAUCAUGAAGAACUCCGAUCGCGAAGGCAAGUGUCCGGGGUGCAACUGACGCUGAGGCUCGAAAGUGCGGGUAUCAAACAGGAUUAGAUACCCUUGUAGUC
rnacentral:rRNA from 1 species